AUUGAACGCUGGCGGCAGGCCUAACACAUGCAAGUCGAGCGGAUGAAGGGAGCUUGCUCCUGGAUUCAGCGGCGGACGGGUGAGUAAUGCCUAGGAAUCUGCCUGGUAGUGGGGGAUAACGUCCGGAAACGGGCGCUAAUAUCGCAUCCGUCCUGAGGGAGAAAGUGGGGGAUCUUCGGACCUCACGCUAUCAGAUGAGCCUAGGUCGGAUUAGCUAGUUGGUGGGGUAAAGGCCUACCAAGGCGACGAUCCGUAACUGGUCUGAGAGGAUGAUCAGUCACACUGGAACUGAGACACGGUCCAGACUCCUACGGGAGGCAGCAGUGGGGAAUAUUGGACAAUGGGCGGAAGCCUGAUCCAGCCAUGCCGCGUGUGUGAAGAAGGUCUUCGGAUUGUAAAGCACUUUAAGUUGGGAGGAAGGGCAGUAAGUUAAUACCUUGCUAUUCUGACGGUACCAACAGAAUAAGCACCGGCUAACUUCGUG
rnacentral:rRNA from 1 species